CACGUCGCGAGUUCCCGGAAUCAGCAGACCGUCUCUAUUUCCUUUCCCUCCAGUGUGCUCCCACUUUUUGCCUCCGACUGGGAGCAGUUUGGAGGGGGAGUGGGACUUUUCGUUCCCCGCAGGAGGCUGGUAUCUGGGAGUGGAAAGCUUUAAAAAACUUUUGCAGGAAACUGGCUGCAGGGACUUGGCGGGGAGAGGACGCUGGUUUCCCACUCCCCUGACCUACCACCUACAACCCUUAUCUUUUCUGUUUGUGGCGGUUUCUCUCUUCUCCUUGCGCUACUUGCUGUACCCCGCCCCCCCCCCCUUAGUCGUCGGCUCCGCGAGAACCCUUGCCUUGGGCAAAUGCAGUUACUGGACAGAUUCUGCACGUCGGCGCCAGUCGCCCGUCAAAAUCGCGAAGCUUUAGGGUCUGCGCAGCAACAGGAGCCGCCCUGUUGCUCUAAGGUGAGCCGCGCACCGACUCAGCUCCGACAAACCGCGGCCCCUUCGCCGUCGGGGCGUACCCGAGAGCCAGUCGUUGCCUCCCGGCCCCCGGCCCCCCGCCGCGGCCCGAGACCAAGCAGGGACCCGGGCUGCACGCCCCGCCCGCAGAGCGGUCUACACCGGCCGGCGCCUGGAAGCGCUGCCCACGGCUGGAGUCGGCUUAGGCUACGCUGAAACCGCUCAUGAGACAAACGUGCUAUCGGUUUAAGCGAAGUAUAAGACCUUUACGUCCAUCCUUGACCUGCCACGGUGUCCACACAGCUGUAUAACUGCUGGCUUUACCCUUUUCUCAAACAUUCUGAUUCUACUUUUGCAGUUCUAACAAACAGAAAUCAGGGUGUCCCAACCUACAGUGGGAUUUCUAUUUGCUAUUUAAUAUUAUGCUCCCUCAGGCAUAAGCUCAAGCCUGACAGGAGAUGUCAUCAGAACCAUCUACCAGAUCCUACAAGAGGUACAGUAGUAGCAAAAGCUGCUUGAAAUCACAAUAAAAAGAAGACAGGAAAUAAAAUACACACAGAGGCAUAACAUUCCCAAAUGCCUCUUGGUCUCCUUGCACCUACCUUGCUAGGGAACUGCUGUAUGACCUGGGGAAUGUAGCUUAUUUCUGAUGGUUUCUUCUGUAGAGACACCACCACAAAAAGUUCAAAGAGCUGCUGCUCCUGUAACUCAAUGAGAUCCCUCUCCAAGGUCUGGUAGUGAGGGUUCCUCUUGGAAGACUGCUGCAAUUGCGCUAAGCGUUUGUGGCGAUCUGCAAUGAAAGCAGGGAGCCUUGUUAUUCCUUAGUCUUCCCUCUAGCACCCAGAGGUCAUGAACCAUAAUGACUAAUUUCCACUCAGUCACUGAUGACUGAGUACUGACUAACCAGUGCCGGCCACACAGACCUGGGAGGGCUGUGACAUACUCAAGGAACAAGUGCGGAUUCUCACGAGCACCUAGGGGCCCAGCGGUGAGAUUCCAUGUCCCAACCUAUACUCUAUAUAUGUCCCAACACGUAUUUCUACACUGUCCCAUCUUUCAUGGCAUAACACAUGGAAAACGUCAGGUGAAGGCACUGGCCCAACAAGAGACACCAUUGUUGGGACCCUGAAUUAUCUCAUACACACACACACACACACACACACACACACACACACAAAACCCCACACACAUGUGUAUGUGUUUUGGGGGGGUGGGAUUUGAUAAAAGAACUGAGUCCUACAUAGGCUAAGUACAUAAAGGGAUGAGUCUUAUAAAA